rnacentral:rRNA from 1 species
AAUGGGGGAAACCCUGACGCAGCAACGCCGCGUGGGUGAUGAAGGCCUUCGGGUCGUAAAGCCCUGUCGGGAGGGAAGAAAUGAUUGAGAGCUAUACCUCUUGGUCUUGACGGUACCUCCGAAGGAAGCACCGGCUAACUCCGUGCCAGCAGCCGCGGUAAUACGGAGGGGGCGAGCGUUGUUCGGAAUUAUUGGGCGUAAAGCGCGUGUAGGCGGUUUGCUCAGGCUGAUGUGAAAGCCCCGGGCUCAACCUGGGAAGUGCAUUGGAAACUAGGAGACUUGAGUACGGGAGAGGGUAGUGGAAUUCCUAGUGUAGGAGUGAAAUCCGUAGAUAUUAGGAGGAACACCGGUGGCGAAGGCGGCUACCUGGACCGAUACUGACGCUGAGACGCGAAAGCGUGGGGAGCAAA